AUAAAAAAAUCUAGGUGAGAAAUAAAUUUGAACGGACACACCAGCGACAUAAACAAAAAAACAAAUAAAAAUGCAAACAAUGGGGCUUGAACCCAGCCAUGCAGGGGCUCGCCCAACAUCGAGAUGGACGAGCACACGUUCCUGACCAACAGGGAGAGGGCCGUGGACUACCUCAACUCCCUGGACAAGGUGUUCGUGAACGACCAGUUCCUCAACUGGGACCCCGAGAACCGGAUCAAGGUCCGCAUCAUCUCUGCCAGGGCGUACCACUCCCUCUUCAUGCACAACAUGUGCAUCCGGCCCACGGACGAGGAGCUGGAGAGCUUCGGCACGCCGGACUUCACCAUCUACAACGCCGGCCAGUUCCCCUGUAACCGCUACACGCACUACAUGACGUCGUCCACGAGCGUAGAUGGCAGGGAUACAUGUCUUAUUGGCAUGCAUGCAUCAUCUAGGAUGGCAGGGAUCGAUCGGACCAUUUUGUAAAUUAAGAAAACGUUAACUUGGUUGAAA